CUUCUUCUUCUUCUUCGGCCCUGAAACUCUCUCUUUCCAUUUUUCCGGUGAGCUUCGAAAAUUGCAACAGACUUGGAAUCUUCAGAUAAAAACUAUCAGAGAAAGGUGCUGUGUUCUCCACUCAAGCACCACAUAGUUUCUGCAGAGAAAGAUGUAGCACUAGGAUGAAGGCAUAACAACACUGAUUCAUCUGGCUUCGGCUUGAUGGAAGGGGUUGUCAUAUGGCCCAGACGUAUUACCAAGAAAGGCCUAUCGAAGCAGACAUUGACUAUGUAUAAGCAUGGUUUUUCUGACCCAGUGGACAUUUCACUAUUGGUAUUCAUAUACCGUCUUGAAGGAAUGUCAUUUAACGGCACCCAUUUAAGGCAACAAAGAAGUUGAAUUCCAAGCUCUUGAAGAACGUGGCCAUCUCAUACUAUGCAAUGUUCCCCAAUCUGGAUCGAUGAGUUACUUUUCAUUGGUCAGUGCUUCCAUGUCUGAGGUACCUAUAUUUGGUCUAAAGGAUUCGUUCAUCUAGUUACUUUGGACUCUUUGGCUGCUGAAUAUUCAGAGUGUUUCAAUGACUAGAGCUCGGACUCCUGGAUCAAAUCAUUUUUCCUCAACUCAAGUUUGGCUCAAUUUUUUA